CAGCUAGUUGGUAAGGUAACGGCUUACCAAGGCUACGAUGUUUAGGGGAUCUGAGAGGAUGACCCCCCACACUGGUACUGAGACGCGGACCAGACUCCUACGGGAGGCAGCAGUAAGGAAUAUUGGUCAAUGGGCGGAAGCCUGAACCAGCCAUGCCGCGUGCAGGAAGACGGCCCUACGGGUUGUAAACUGCUUUUGUACCGGAAUAAACCCCUUUACGUGUAGAGGGUUGAAUGUACGGUAAGAAUAAGGAUCGGCUAACUCCGUGCCAGCAGCCGCGGUAAUACGGAGGAUCCAAGCGUUAUCCGGAUUUAUUGGGUUUAAAGGGUGCGUAGUGGCUUUUUAAGUCAGGGGUGAAAGACGGUAGCUUAACUAUCGCAGUGCCUUUGAUACUGAAGAGCUUGAAUACACUAGAGGUAGGCGGAAUGUGACAAGUAGCGGUGAAAUGCAUAGAUAUGUCACAGAAACACCAAUUGCGAAGGCAG
rnacentral:rRNA from 1 species